UCUGGCGAUGAUGAGCCACUUGCCCUCGCUGAGAACGAAGUUCGGUAAUGAGACUCUUUGUUACGGACUCAAGUUCUGAGCCAGA
ensembl:snoRNA